AACGUGGUGACUGUUAAUAACACAACUUCUCUGGACCCAAGAUUCUACACUCUUCAGAGUAAGGGCGAAGGCACCUCAGCGACCACACAGGGAGUCAUGAAGAGACCCCGGGGAGCUCUGCUGGGGCUCCUGUGGGUGCAGGUUUGCUGGGUGAGAGGGGUGGAGGUGGAGCAGAGACCUCCAGCCCUGAGCGUCCAGGAGGGAGCCAGUUCUACCCUGAGCUGCAACUUUUCGAGCACAGCCAGCAAUGUGCAGUGGUUCCGACAGAAUCCUGGGGGCGGCGGCCUCACGCGGCUGUUUUACAUCGCGUCAGGGAUGCAGCAGGACGGGAGGUUAGCCUGCACACUGAACACGAAGGACCGGCACAGCAGCCUGCACAUCAGGGCCUCCAGGCAGGAAGACGCAGCCACCUACCUGUGUGCGGUGGAGGCACAGUGCUGCCUGCCGCCCUGCAGCCUGUCCCCAAACUGCAGCUGGGCUGGUAGCCCAGGCUCCUCCACCAGGAAGCCUUCCUUGCUCAGCAGCAUUUGCACAGCGUGCUUGGCACCACCUGGGGCUCUGCAGGCUAAAAGUUGGUGGUGGUAA